UUCGUAUUUUUUGAAGAUAAUGUAAUUAAUGUUCACACCCCCACACUAUACACCCCUCUUCACUCCACCCCUCCCUCCUUUGUGAUUGAAAUUGAGAGUCCCUUCACCUUUAAAAAGAAAAUAGAUGAGCGGUCUGCACCCGCAAGGCGGUGCUCUUGUUUGUCUAAUUCACUGUGUCUUAUGUUGAUUGGCAUUUCAUUAUUGUAUUAUUCAUAUCUGUUUGAUUGUUUUUCAUAUGAAUUUGUAUAGCAAAGAUAUAAAUCUUUAAGUAUGAGUUGCUUAGUUGAACAAAUGAGGCAGAAUUAUUUUAGUGAUUUACAUCACAUGUUUUAGUACUUUACUUAUGUAUAGGGAUCAUUUUGUUGUAUCCGUCCAUAAUGUAACUUCUGAUUUUACUCUGUGUGCAAUUUAACUGCCUAAACAGUUCAUUUGUUUGAUGUUUGUUUUUGUUUAUUUUCAAACAUACUAUUAAAAGUUUUCAUUUGCAUGUUUUAAAAGGUAGCUAAGUACAUUUUAAAUUAAAUAUGAUGAGUAAUAUUGAUUGAUACCAAAGAAACAUUAUUUCCCUACACCAGAACUUAACGGGACUUACUAACAGUAUGGCGCAGUGACAAUUGAAAACAAUGCAGAAGUCACUGUAUUGACCCACUCAUCAUUAAAUUUGCUCAGAACUUUUAUUGGGCUGUUGUGAUGUCAGACUGAAUUCAAAAUCAUUGUGGGUGGCUUGUUCAAAAACAUGCUACCAGGAUAGUAAGUCUAAUGUUAAACUUUGAAAAAGCUAUAUGCUCAGAAGAAAAGUUGAGUUCCUUUGGUUUUCGGAUGAAUACCUUAGGGAAUUGGGUUCUUUUGUGUACUAAUGUGCCUUUUGUGGUAUUGUAUAAAAUUACUUCAUACUGUAGCUUUAGAAGAUUGUAAUAUUUACAUGUCAAUUAUUCUCUCGGGGUUGGGUGGGAUAUUUCAAGGGUACCAUUGAGGUGUAUCUCUCAUUGUUCUACUUUAAUUUAUAAACAAGCAUAUGUUUUAGAAUUCUUUAUCUUGUUCUGUUUCAUACAAACUGAAAUACCAAUACAGGACAAUCUUUAAUUGAAUGUACUCAUUUAAUUGUCAAAAUCAUUCUGAAAUUUUCAAAAUUGCAGAAAUUGAGCGAGACAGGUUGAGAGAGUACCGUUGAGUUACGAUUACCGGAUACAUAGUAAAUAUAUAAACAAAUAAGUUUUAUCUCACACUUUGUCAGCAUAUGAUGUCCUAAAGACAAGGAAUGAGGAACUUAUCUGAAACCUGAACUUAAUUUUAAAUCUGGCAUUGUCAGGAAUUGCAUCACUUGUCAAUUUUUGGCAUUUUUAUGUCCCCCAUUAUAGUAGUGGGGGACAUAUUGUUUUUGCCCUGUCUGUUGGUCUGUGUGUUGGUCUGUCUGUUGGUCUGUUUGCGCCAACUUUAACAUUUUGCAAUAACUUUUUCUAUAUUGAAGAUAGCAACUUCAUAUUUGGCAUGCAUGUGUAUCUCAUGAAGCUGCACAUUUUGAGUGGUGAAAGGUCAAGGUCAUCCUUCAAGGUCAGAGGUCAAAUAUAUAUGGCCAAAAUCGCUCAUUUUAUGAAUACUUUUGCAAUAUUGAAGAUAGCAACUUGAUAUUUGGCAUGCAUGUGUAUCUCAUGGAGCUGCACAUUUUGUGUGGUGAAAGGUCAAGGUCAUCCUUCAAGGUCAGAGGUCAAAUAUAUGUGGCCCAAAUCGCUUAUUUUAUAAAUACUUUUGCAAUAUUGAAGAUAGCAACUUGAUAUUUGGCAUGCAUGUGCAUCUCAUGGAACUGCACAUUUUGAGUGGUGAAAGGUCAAGGUCAUCCUUCAAGGUCAGAGGUCAAAUAUAUGUGGCCCAAAUCGCUUAUUUUAUUAAUACUUUUGCAAUAUUGAAUAUAUCAACUUGAUAUUUGGCAUGCAUGUGUAUCUCAUGGAGCUGCACAUUUUGUGUGGUGAAAGGUCAAGGUCAUCCUUCACAAGGUCAAGGUCAUCCUUCAAAGUCAAACGUCAUAUAGGGGGACAUUGUGUUUCACAAACGCAUCUUGUUGAGUCUUUAUUACUACUUGCUAUGUAAUUAAUUUAUAUGUACUAAUAAACCUGUUACGGUAAGUUAGUUAUCCCAGUCCAAUUUGGCUCUCUUGUGAUAACUGGUUCACACAAAAGUUUAUUCUGUUUUCAACCUUUUCUUCCCAAAAUGUGUUUGUUACAAAGUAUUUCUUGAUAAAAAGAAUAAUUGCCAUACCUAGUAUACCCGUUUGUUGUUUACAUUUUAAGAGGCUUUACUGGAUAAAAGUAUAUGAGUUAUAUUGUAAACAAUAAAGAUUGUUAUUUGAA